AACAAAAAUUUCCAGCGCAAGUAUCUUUCAAAAUCAUAGAAUGCGACAAGGAUCAUCCCAAAUUGUAACGAAGAGUAACUCGCUCCGAUAUAUUCAAGAAUUAAUUACAAUCUGACACUUUCUCGCGCGUCUAUCGAUGACGAUAAUCUUUCUAAUCUUCCUAAGUAGAAAAAGGAAAGCUCGAUUACAAAGACCGCAUAGACAUUGACAGAGGCAUUAGCUCCUAACUCGUAUUUGCAACAUAUCUACGAUUCUAAUCGAUUCUAAUCGAUCAGUUGAUUAGCUCAAGAGUGUGAUCGAUGGUUACUCCAUAGAUGAAAGUUCGGCAAUACUUAAAUGUCAGACGAAAAUAGCUGUAACAUAAUUGGGAAGUAUGAGAUGAAAUGAGAAAUGGUUAGGGACUUUGAUAGACCAUUUUUUGCAUAACCACGCGGUACAUUUAGUAUGAAUAUCCUGCUUGUACCUGCGUACAACUAUCCCAGAGAGGUACUACCCGGCAAGUACUACUACGAUACACUCGAGCGAACGUAAAGGACUUGGUUAUUAUUUUGAACCGCGUCUACUUGGCUCGAAAUAAUACCACUUGCUUUAGCCGGUUCAAAGGCAAUAACAAGAUAUCUCGACGACUUUCAACCUUUCCCAUUUCAUGGCGCGUACGAACUAAUUACAUACAUAAAAUUAAAUACAUAAAAUUCUACGGUACAUCAAAAAGUACAUUAUAUUUGGUUGAAGACGGAGCGUUCACACCGGACAGCUACCGUUGUUUUCAUUCGAGCCGCUUACUUGCCGAAUUGGUAAACACCAGAAAACGAAAAGUAGAGAAAAUCGACGACGGUACGUCUAAUUAUCGGUAUCUCGUGCAUCCCACCGAUUUCGAUGAUUUUUUAACACCCUGUAGAAAUCGAUAUUUCGAACAACUCUUUCCCAUACGUAUAACCACCGCUCGGCCAUAGUUUCCCAGAUAUAGGCAAAGCUGUCGAAACCACUACAGUGAACGCUGCCUGUAUAAUUCGUAAUUAUACGGACUCGUGUCCGUGACAGCGUUUGCCCUGGUAUUAGUUGGCCGCCGUCUGGUAAAGCGACAUUUAACCCAAACCUACAUAAACUACAAACAAAAGAUAAACAUUAGGUACGAGUUAGAUAUUAUUUUAUCUGGCCGCUAAUAUUAGCGCACACGCUGUCACGGCCAUACGUACAAUUAUAUACGCAAUUCUAUAUUCUGUAUUACGCAUAGAAUUCAUCACUGUGACGGUAGCGAUAGUUUAUCGCGAGUAUCAACUAAGGUAGAGUGACGAUCAUAUAUAUACAAACAAGUUGUUCAGAAUCGCAUCGCCGACAACAUGUAUAAUAAUCAUCGAAACCGUUUUUCAAGUCACGACCUCCGUGGAAUUAAUCUCUGUGCUUCUGGAUUAUUUGCCACGCGAUUACACAGUAAGUGGGAUAACUGAGGUAUAACGAAUACAGAGGGACAAUGAACGAUGAAAAUCGAGGUGGCUGGGGGGCGACCUGAUUUCCACUGUCCCCGGCUACAGCGGAGGCCGUCAACAAUGCGACUUUAUUCGACUCGGAAGAGGGGUCCAUUGGUUAAUGAGGUUAAGAGCGAGACUAGACGAUGCGAUGAGUCGAAUACAGAGUAGACCAAGUAUAGUAGCCUCCGUAAUAUAGUAAAGUUGUAAAAUCGAUACCCGGUGUUUGAGCAAAAAAAGUUAGCUUCGCCAUGUUGUUCGAAUUAUCUUUGAUCAAAUCGUAUUUUCCUAUCGUUGAAUAAUUUCUUAAAUUCGAGGGAAAUGUCGAGGUAAUUUCCUAACUUUCAGGAUUAAUAGUAGCGGUAACGAUUUCAUUUUCGCUCGGAUUUUCUCAAAAUAUUAAAACUACUCUUCGUUCGGUUGAAAUUAAUGUAAGAUUGAAAUACAUUGAUAUUCGAGGACCCUGAGAAUAAACGGACCGCAACUUUUGUCACGUUCGGUUCAUAUCGAAAAGAAUAGAGCGCUAUAAUAGGCCUGGGUAUGACAGCAUCGUUUAACACUCCAAUUCGCAACUUCAUUAUAUCAUAGUAACUGUUCGUACUCGACCACGAGAUAUUUCAACGUGUAGAGUUAAUAUUCGUAAAAAUUGGAGGUCUCUGGUUUGCGUAUAUUUAAAUGUACGAGCGUACGUGUAUUAAACGUAUCUAUGCUUCGAUUUAUCCAAUCCUUAAGCUUGAAACUUCGAUAUGGUGAAAAUGGAAAAAUGGUGAAAAUAUUCACAGCCGUGGUCUGUUUUCGUUCCUGUUUUCGCUACCGAAUUGCGUGCCACAGAAUCCAAUAUUGGACCAGUGAAACUAUUUUCAGCGAUCCGGAAACUCCGAUACCUAAACUGGGUGAAUCGAAUACUGAGAAAGGUCGUGUUGAUUAAUUCGUCCUAGAUUCUAUCAAAUCAUUAAUGCAAGUAAAUAUUCAAAGAUAUUUCUUCUCUAAAGAUGAAUUAAUAAGUAAAAACUGUUACCUUGUACAUUGUCGUGACUGUACAGAAUAAAAAUUACUUCGAUAAA